UACGGGGGGGGCAAGCGUUGUUCGGAAUUACUGGGCGUAAAGGGCGCGUAGGCGGACCACCAAGUCCGGGGUGAAAUCCUUCGGCUUAACCGGAGAAUUGCCUGGGAUACUGGUGGUCUUGAGGGAGGUAGGGGCACGCGGAACUUCCGGUGGAGCGGUGAAAUGCGUUGAUAUCGGAAGGAACGCCGGUGGCGAAAGCGGCGUGCUGGCCCUCUUCUGACGCUGAGGCGCGAAAGCCAGGGGAGCGAACGGG
rnacentral:rRNA from 1 species